rnacentral:misc_RNA from 1 species
GUCAGGAGAGGACUGGACACAACAGUUUUAAUCAAAUAUCUAAUGUCAGUAUAAACUAUUCCAUAAACUUAAAUAUCAAAUUUCAUGAAAAGGAAACAUUGUCAGCCUUCGAAGUUUGCAAUCAACAAAUCCUCCAGUCAAACCUCUAAAAUAUUUCAAUGACCCGUGCAUACCUUAACACAUUCCCAUACAAUUAAAAAAAAAAUCUUAGGAAAGAGAAGAAACACAACUCAACUCAACUCAACUCAA